UAAUAUAAAAAUUGUUUUUCUAGCGCAAUGAUCAAUGUCAAAUUGAAUCUAAAAUUCAACAAUCAACAUGAUUGAAUAUAUAACCUCAACAUCAAUAAUGAAAAGCUGAAAUCUUGAAGCAGUACAUCCAACUAAGAAGUAUUCUGUAGUUCCAAUUAUAGUAAUUUAAAAUCCCAUGAAAAAUUGUAUGACCCAAGCAGGUUAACGAGAAAAAA